UACGGGGGGGGCAAGCGUUGUUCGGAAUUACUGGGCGUAAAGGGCUCGUAGGUGGCCAACUAAGUCAGACGUGAAAUCCCUCGGCUUAACCGGGGAACUGCGUCUGAUACUGGAUGGCUUGAGUUCGGGAGAGGGAUGCGGAAUUCCAGGUGUAGCGGUGAAAUGCGUAGAUAUUGGGAGGAACACCAGUGGCGAAGGCGGCUCACUGGACCGGUACUGACGCUGAGGUGCGAAAGCGUGGGGAGCAAACAGG
rnacentral:rRNA from 1 species